rnacentral:misc_RNA from 1 species
GAUGAAGAACGUAGCAAAUGCGAUAAGUAAUGUGAAUUGCAGAAUUCAGUGAAUCAUCGAAUCUUUGAACGCACAUUGCGCCCGCCAGUAUUCUGGCGGGCAUGCCUGUUCGAGCGUCAUUUCAACCCUCAAGCACAGCUUGGUGUUGGGACUCGCGUUAAUUCGCGUUCCUCAAAUUGAUUGGCGGUCACGUCGAGCUUCCAUAGCGUAGUAGUAAAACCCUCGUUACUGGUAAUCGUCGCGGCCACGCCGUUAAACCCCAACUUCUGAAUGUUGACCUCGGAUCAGGUAGGAAUACCCGCUGAACUUAAGCAUAUCAAUAAGCGGAGGA